UACGAAGGGGGCUAGCGUUGCUCGGAAUCACUGGGCGUAAAGGGUGCGUAGGCGGGUCUUUUAAGUCAGGGGUGAAAUCCUGGAGCUCAACUCCAGAACUGCCUUUGAUACUGAAGAUCUUGAGUUCGGGAGAGGUGAGUGGAACUGCGAGUGUAGAGGUGAAAUUCGUAGAUAUUAGGAAGAACACCAGUGGCGAAGGCGGCUCACUGGUCCGGUACUGACGCUGAGGUGCGAAAGCGUGGGGAGCAAACAGG
rnacentral:rRNA from 1 species